rnacentral:rRNA from 1 species
UCGAGGAUCUUCGGCAAUGGGCGCAAGCCUGACCGAGCGACGCCGCGUGUGCGAUGAAGGCCCUUCGGGUUGUAAAGCACUGUCGAGAGGGAGCAAGCCGCAAGGUUGAGCGACCUCUGGAGGAAGCACGGGCUAAGUUCGUGCCAGCAGCCGCGGUAAGACGAACCGUGCGAACGUUGUUCGGAAUCACUGGGCUUAAAGGGCGCGUAGGCGGGAUGGCAAGUCGGAGGUGAAAGCCCCCAGCUUAACUGGGGAAGUGCCCUCGAUACUGCCGUUCUCGAGAGAGGUAGGGGCGUGUGGAACUUCCGGUGGAGCGGUGAAAUGCGUAGAUAUCGGAAGGAACGCCGGUGGCGAAAGCGAUGCGCUGGACCUUUUCUGACGCUGAGGCGCGAAAGCCAGG